rnacentral:rRNA from 1 species
CUGACGACCGGCGCACGGGUGCGUAACGCGUAUACAAUCUACCUUUUACAGAGGGAUAGCCCAGAGAAAUUUGGAUUAAUACCUCAUAGUAUUAUAAAUUGGCAUCAAUUAAUAAUUAAAGUUUCGGCGGUAAAAGAUGAGUAUGCGUUCUAUUAGCUAGUAGGUAAGGUAACGGCUUACCUAGGCAACGAUAGAUAGGGGUCCUGAGAGGGAGAUCCCCCACACUGGUACUGAGACACGGACCAG